AGGAUCAUUAUUGAAAUAAACCUGAUAAGUUGCUGCUGGUUCUCUAGGGAGCAUGUGCACACUUGUCAUCUUUGUAUCUUCACCUGUGCACCUUUUGUAGACCAGAUUAUCUCUCUGAGUGCUUUACAGCUCUUGGGAUUGAGAAUUGGCUUCUUGUCUUUUCUUAUAUUUUCAGGUCUAUGUUUUUCAUAUACCCUAAUGUAUGUUUAUAGAAUGUAAUUGAUGGGCCUUUGUGCCUAUAAACCUUUACAACUUUCAGCAACGGAUCUCUUGGCUCUCGCAUCGAUGAAGAACGCAGCGAAAUGCGAUAAGUAAUGUGAAUUGCAGAAUUCAGUGAAUCAUCGAAUCUUUGAACGCACCUUGCGCUCCUUGGUAUUCCGAGGAGCAUGCCUGUUUGAGUGUCAUUAAUAUUAUCAACCUCUUUGGUUGGAUUUGGGGGUUUGCUGGCCUUUUGAAGGUCAGCUCUCCUUAAAUGCAUUAGCGGACAACAUAUUUGCCAACCGUUUAUUGGUGUGAUAAUUAUCUACGCUAUUAACGUGAAGCAAGGUUCAGCUUCUAAUAGUCCAUUGACUUGGACARCUCUUCUUUUAUUAAUGUGACCUCAAAUCAGGUAGGACUACCCGCUGAACUUAA
rnacentral:rRNA from 1 species